rnacentral:tRNA from 1 species
GCCCUCGUAGCUCAGCGGAUAGAGCACCGCUCUCCUAAAGCGGGUGUCGCGCGUUCGAGUCGCGCCGGGGGCA